UGCAGAUAAAAACCCUCCAGUGAACAAUUCAUUUUGCCCGCACUCGUUUUGAACUAACCUACUCAUGGGUGCAUCCAUGCCAGCCCGCCCGGCUCCCUCGAUUUACAUAGCAACGUCGGAAUUCGCAGGGUUAAUCCCUAACCCCCAGCAAUACCACUGGGAGAGCUGUAUGGCAGGCUUGAAAUAGUUACUACUUGGAGCAAGCAGCCUUUUCAAGUCUUUACUUAUAAUUCACGGAUUGGAGAAGCUGGAGCACCAAUUUUCAGCUGAGGGCUCCCAAUCUGAGGAGCUGUUUGAGCCAGGCCCUGGAAGAGCAGAGGUAGAAGAGUGCGUGUCUGUGUGUCCAUCCCUCUGUACGUGUGACCUCAGCCACAGCAUCCUUGCCAUGGGAAAGCCACGGGAAUAUGGGAACCAGGACAAAAUUCAAAUCAAUAAAUGGGAGAAGGAGAGAAACCACAAGCUGUGCAUUUUCAGGGAGGUUCUGUGGGAUGGAUGGAGGCUGCUGAGCAUGACCUAA
rnacentral:lncRNA from 1 species